UUCCUUACUAUGUUCCUCACAGUGGAAACUGACAGGUUAAAUCUCUGAGACAACUUUUUGUAUCCUUCCCCUGAACAACUAUGUUGAACAAUCUUUGUUUUUGGAUCAUUUGAGAGUUGUUUUGAUGAGCCCAUGAUGCCACUCUUCAGAGGAGAUUCAAAUAGGAGAACAACUUGCAAUUGGCCACCUUAAAUACCUUUUCUCAUGAUUGGAUACACCUGGCUAUGAAGUUCAAAGCUCAAUGAGGUUACCAAACCAAUUUUGUGCUUCAGUAAGUCAGUAAAAAGUAGUUAGGAGUAUUCAAAUCAAUAAAAUGAUAAGGGUGCCCAUACUUCUGCACCGAUCAAAUUUUGGUUUAAUGCAUAUUGCACAUUUUCUGUUAGUACAAUAAACCUCAUUUCAAUCCUGAAA